GAUCCGGUUUUCUCUAAACCGGUAUUGGGAUUGAGUUUAUUAUUUAAUUGGACUAAACCAAAAUAAUUACAAAACCAAAGCAAUAUAUAAACUUGUAUGCAUCUCCUUCGUCAUGUUAACCUAGCCGUCAUUUGUAAGAGAUCACCAUCGUUGUACCAUCUCUUCCCACACCCCUCUCCUCCAUUCAAGUUUUCCUGCGAUCAACCUAAUGUCAGUUCCGUAAGUAAGAAGACGAGACUACAAACCCAUCACCAUUCCAUCUCAUGUGUGUUGAUGUGAGCAAAGCCGAGAGGAGAAGACGUGCGAACCGGAGCCACCAUCUCAUCAUCACAAACCACCAUUGAUUUGCGCCGCUGUGAGCCUAAAGCUACCAGAUGUGUGUGUCUCAUAGCAAUGGAGAUACUUUCGCGAGCCAGAGAUUUCUCCAUGUCUUAAGCCGAGGAGAAGAGAUGACCUAUAUUGGAUCCAUGGCUGACGAGUGGCUUUGCGGGAGGAUCCUAGAUCGAUUCAGGGGACCUUAGCCUUUGAAACAUGGCUCUUUGGAUAGAUCUAGUUUCCAGGAAUCUGUAGCAGCAAACGGAAUCGAGAUCGGAGUUGUACAGAAAAAGUUAUUGACGUUGCUUCUUGGCCAAGCAUAAACUUAAGCUGUUGCGAUGCAGAGACAGUUCCGACCAGUCUCAGCGUAAAGGCGAAACGGUCGACCAAAACAGAAGCUUUCAGUACGGAAAAUUUGUCAGUAAGUAGUUAACUCUUUUAUCUAUCAUCUCCAAGAAGCGGAUUGUCAUUCCCAGUUAUUUUCUGAAAGUUGUGUUUGUUCUCGCGAGAGGUAUUGCUGCAGUCUUCGUAUUCGACCAGCCUGGAGGUGAAACCAUUUUGGUUAAUCAAAUGGUGUCCGAUCGGAGUAAACCCGGUGGCUAUGGACAAAGGACAUAUAGGAAUACAUUCUUACCGGAGGGAUCAAAAGUUUAACGGUCAGUUCUCGAGUUAUGCAUCUGCUUUUCUCGAGGGUUCAGGUCUGACCAAAUCCCCAUAUUCGUCUAUUUUUCAAAAGUUCAGGAGUUGUUAUUUUAGAGCCGUCAAAGUCCAUUCGGUGUGUUCUCAGGUUUUCUGAAGAACCCGUGGCAAAGGUGAAACUGACGAGUAUAUGAUAUUUGGAUGGAUUGGUGCUACUGGCUUUUAUUUCGGAUUUAUAUUUGGGCUUAGGGUGAUUGGAGUCGUGUAUAUGGGUUAUUGUGUUAUGAGGUAUUGUUGGUGGCAAGAUUUUCUCUAGAUAGGAGGUGACGGGUGUCACAAUUUGGUAUCAGAGCGGGGUUCCGUCCCGGCCUCGACCCGGGAUGGCGAUUAGGGGAUUCGGUUUCCUACGUUUUUAAAAAAAUAAUAGAAAUAACUUAUAUAUAUAUAUAUAUAUAAUUAAAAAAAAAUGUUUGCGAAGUUCUUUUAGCACCAUUCUGUCCAGUAAUUCCUAACUCAAUUGUCUCUUUCUAUGACGAUGAGUAAAAUGAUCGUCAUUCAUCCGUCGACUAACAGGGUUCUAGCUAUAUGUUCAGCAGCAGAUGGGUGAUGUCUCAGUUUGCCAGUUUUCUCAGGAGUGUUACCUAUUUCUUCGGUCAUGAUUCCGAGAUUAUCCAGGAGUGGAUAUUUGACGUUUCUGCUUCCACCCUACUUCAAGCAAUUGUUCCACGAGUUUUGUCACGGGAGAUUACGUGAUAUGAGGUGUGAGCCAUUAGUUGGCAUGUAUUGUUUUAUGUACGAGUAUGUUGACUAUUUUGGAGGUAUGUUCGGUUUGUAAACUCAUGGGGAUCACUUUUGGAUUGGGAGUGCGGCAGCUUGCGUUGUAUGGAUAUUAGAGUUAUGCUUGACUUUGUUUCCCAGUUUUUGGCAAUGUUGUUCGUUUCAGAGAUGUGUUAGUUCAAACGGCUGACAUGGGAUGUGGGAGCUAUUUAUAUUCAUCGCAAUGUACCAGUUAUGCUCGGAGGACUGAUUUGUUUGGAGACUCUUCAGAGAUUGAGCUACGUUUUUACGAUGUCAUCCAUGGGAUGGAUUGGCUACCACAACAUCGAGUAGAGUUGGAUUGCCUGAGGACAAGAGUUGAUAUUGCUGGAGCAGAUGAGAAUUUUUAUUGCAUGUAUGCUACAUGCUGAAGAGUUAUUGGAUAUAAGAGCAUAUGGAUUUUCAUCGAACAUUUUGAGAGUUAAAAUGAUGGACAGCAUGAGUUGCAGGAUCUUCCAGUCAUUGCAGAUUAUGAGGAUGUAAUUGUGGUCUUUGGAUUGACCACAACCAGACACAUGAGAUGUUCUUACGAUUGAGUUGGAACCAAGGACAUCAUUGGUUUCACGAGUUCUAUACCAAUUAGCAGCAGUAGAGAUGACCGAGCUGAAAGAGCAUAUGGAAGAUUCAUUAGACAUGGAAUUUAUCAGACCAAGUACUUCACCGUAGGAAGCAUCAUUAUUUUUUUUAAGAAGAAAGUUGGAAGUUUCAGUUUUCGUAUCAACUACAUAAACUUGAACAUGAUAUCCACGUAUUAAUGAGUUGUUGGAUUACCUACAGGAGGUUCAUGGUUCUUGAAGAUUGACUUGGCAUCACGACACCACCAGAUUGCGAUAGAUGACGAGGAUAUGCGGAAGACAGCCUUCUGAUUAUGGACAUUAUGAGUUGUUAUGAUGUCAUUUGGGUUGACGAACACACCCGUAGCAUUUAGGAAACCUAUAAAUGACGUUUUUGCGAACACUUGGAUAAGUGCAUGAUUGUAUUCAUCGAUGACACCUUGAUUUAUUCUCGGAGUACAGAGGAGCAUGCUGAGCAUUUAUGGAUUGGGUUGGGUAAGCUUGGAGAGAAGAAAUUGUUUGCUAGCUGAGUGAGUUUAGUUUCUAGCAAAGAAAAAAAAAUGGAUUUUUGGGUCAUGUGGUUUCAGAAGCAGAAAUUACUGUCGAUUAAAAAAAAAAUAAAAAAAAAUAAAGACUACUACAAUUCCAGAGUGACACUUAAAAGGUACAAAGAUAUGAAGUCUUUCUAUCAUUGGCUCACUAUGAAAAAUAUUAUAGCUACAUUGCGUUGUGUUAUCAGACAUGUCAGAUGGCUAUGUCAGAGGAUCAGAUACAUUUCAGGUUAUUGUUGAGCUUGCUUUUUCCGGCCUGGUGAUUAUGGAUGUUGUUACUGGAUUGUCGAUCACCACAUGUGAAAAAUAUGCCACACGGAUAACCAUGGAUAUACUUACCAAGUCAACCCAUUUUCUAGUAAUUACGAAGACGUAUAGAGUUGAUCAGUUGGUGCAGAUUUAUAUCAGCGUGAUUAUAAGGUUGCUUGGAGUUUAUGUCAUCAUUGUAUCGGAUCGCGAUUAGAAGUUUACGUCUGCAUUUUAGAGAGCCUUUCAGAAGGACAAAAGUCCAUAAGAAUAUGAUUUAUCAACCGCAGAUUGUCAGUCAGAGAGAACUAUGUUGAGCAUCUACAUCUAGCAGAGUUUCCUUACAUCGAGAGCUAUGGUUCGAGCAUUGAAAUUGCACUGUAUGAGACUCCUUAUGGUAGGCCUUGAUGUACACCACUUUGUUGGACCAAAGUAGGGGAGCGACGUGAGUUUAAACUAUUAAUGGUUCAAGAGACGGUAGAGAAAAUGAAUAUGCUCAAAAGUUUAGUUUUUAUGAAGCCAUGAUCGUCAGAGGAUUUAUGCAACUAAGUGACGUAAGAAUUUAGAGUUUCUAGCGAUUUAGUAUACUAAAAAUAAAGACAUUUCAGGAAGGAUCUAAAACUCAGAAGCUAAAGACGCCUAAGCCGAGUAUAUGGGACUGUACCUCACUGUGAAGCGGAUUAGAUUACAGUUAUCAGCAGAGUUGUCAGAAUUUCACGGCGUAUUUCAUGUGUGAGUUUUGAGAAAGGUCAUGAGUUAACCAGAGCUCAUUUUGCAGCAGCUACCAAGCGAUUCAAAAAAAAAAAUGUGUUGCGCGUUUUCAGCUAAUGGAGAUUAUGGAUCAA